rnacentral:lncRNA from 1 species
GUAGACCAGAGGCUGCAAGGGACUGGAGCAAAAGAAGGGAAGAAAUGACUGAUUUGAGGUAAAGAGAGUGUUCUAGAAUGGAGACAAUAGUCACACAACUCUUGAAUGUACUGAGCUGCACUUCUGUUUUCUCUUUGGUACUAGGGCUGCAACCAAGGCUUUGCAUAGAUGCUACUGUCUCAUUCUGCAGCAGUCUGGCCUGGAACUACAGAACCCAGGCUGGACUCAAAUUAAUGGCAAUUCUCCUGCCUCAGCCUCCUGAAUUCUAGGACAUCAGGUAACACAAACCUUUACUGCUUGACUAAACAGUACAUUUCUACAGUACAUAAAUUACCAAGCUUGGGCAUUU